AUCCAAGCAGGGAAUAUUUGUGAAGACUUGGGACGUCCCAUUUCUACAUCUCCCAGUGGCGAGAGAACAUCAGCAGCAACCGCAGGCUUUCCUUUAUUACUGGGGUAUAUAUUCAACAUAUUUUUAGUGUUAAUUAUAUGGGAACUUUACCGCAUAGCUUCCACUGACUUCUGCACUCCCAGUUCUACUCUGAGGUGCAGGACAGAAGAAGAGGUUCCAGUGAGAUCCCUCUCAUCUGCCUUGAAACUGAUAAAAAAUAACAGUCAUGGCAGCCAACAUGGAGACCCUCGAUCCUUCAGCUUUACCAGAUAUUCCCCCAACCGUCUCCUACCAAUGUCAGCCUGAAACUGUUACCUUUUCAAGUGGAGUUGUCUCGGUGGCGGGCAUCACUGUGGUGACUGGGGGCGUUGAGCUUUCUUGUAGGUCCUGCAUCCUGGCCUUUGGCUUUUGGGGAACUCUCAUUGGAUUGAGCUGCUUGGCCGUGGGGCUCUGGGACCAGCUGGCUCAGCUUAAAAAUGGGACCUCUACCUUGCUGGGGUUUGGAUUGGUGAUAUUUGUUCUCAGUUUUUUGGUGAUGGCCAGCAUGCUCAUGUUUCACCUCCUGACGAAGAAGAAGAGAGGUAUCAGACGAGAAGAAAAAAGGGAAGGAAACCAAGUUUUGGUGGAGGGAGGUGAAGUUAUAAAAAAAGUCACUGUGUAAAAUAGCAUUAUGGCAGAAAUUGUUGUGAGCUUAUCAAAUUUCUCUGUACAGUAUUUAGUAUAAUAAAUGUGCAAACAGUAAUUUUCCUGCUCCAAGCCUGGAGCAUUUUUAACCCACAUUAGCAGCACACCACACUUCCUGUUUUGUCACAUAGGCAGUUCUGCCUUCUCCCCCCAGUUUCUACACUUAUCUCACUAGGAGGUCAAAAUAAAUACAAAACAAUACUCUUUUGUUGUACUGAAAACUUUACAAAGGUUUUAUAAAUCUCAACACAUUUCAAAGAACCUUUAAUUUGGCCAAUUUAAGUAUUUUAGAUUAAAAGAGAUGAUUAAAUGCAGUCCAGAGUUCUUAAUUGAACUGUAAAACAAGAGUUUAAUUUCCCAACAAUAUUGCAAAGCCAUUUGCUUAUGGUGUGCAUAAGCCCAAUGCCCAACUCCCAUGAAAACAUUGUGCAGAUCAGUAAUACAAAAGUUGUUCAGGCUGCUCCUAAAAUAAUAAUUUAUUUUUUUCUAACUGCUGAUGACACCCCAAUAUAACAGCAUUGCUUUCAUACUAAUUAAACUUAUACAUUUAUUUUACUCGAUUUUAAUUUUAUUCACUUUAAGGUAAUUUUAAAUGUAUAAUCUAAAAUCUUUUUAAUGCAUAAAAGGGUUUGUUAUUUGCAUUGGAUAAAAUAGUUAGAAUUUGUGUUUAGUCCUAUUUAACAAUAUGAUGGUGUCUUAAUUCAGGAUGCCAUAUUACAUUUUGUUGUGUAAGACUUUAAGCACUUCCUGCUGCAAACUCUAGAGUGUUAUAAACAUAAAACAGUUCUUUUUCCUUGUGAGAAUGCCAGUUAUGUUGUUUGGAAACGUCACAUAUAAAAUGUUCUCCACAACAAUCAUGCCAAAUAUGUAGUAGGCAAUGAAUUGUCUGAUAUGUGAUUUUGUUUUUACAUUUGCUUUAAGAUUUUUCUUUGUCUUUUUAAUGCAACAUUCUUUUUUAUAUCUCAUUAUCUUUACGCUUAUAAGGUUUUAUAGAAUAUUUCUUCUGAGUUGCAUAUUUUUAAUCAUUGGUUACAGUUUUUUAAGAAAAGCAGUACAAUGCAAAAGCUUAUGUGCCAGUAUAGAGAGAAAAAAAAGAAUGAAGAUGUUUUAAUGUAAUGUUUAAUGUACAGUAUGAAUUUGUCAAAGCAUGUACAAAUAAUGUAACACAGUAAAAUGUCAGAAUGAAAGUA